AUCUAAGGUAAGAUCAAUAACUCCAAUUUCAUUCCUUUCCUUUCCAAUGAAGCCUAAAUUCAUUCUUAAGUUUAUGCUCAUUUGGGUUAUUUGCAUGUGAUCACCUUUUAAGAGUUAGAGAGAAGAAUUAGCACUGAAUAAGUAUGUUAGAGCAGAAGAACAUGGGCACAAGAUGGAAGCUUGAAGUUUUGAUUGUGGAUUUUUGAAGAAAUUUGGGUUAAACCCGUAUUCAAGGACAGACCUUCCCUAAAAAGGUAAUUGUUCUCUCUUUGUAACUCCGAAUGAUAUGUUGUUUGUUUAUGUGUAUAGCUAACUCAAAUAUGGUCGUUAUGAUAUCAGUUUUAUAAUUUUUGGACGAGGGAUGAGGUUGGUAGCCAUUUUUGAAGUUGGAAGUCAGUAGAAGGAAUUGUGCAGAAAAUCUGAUUUUUUUUUGUUUUUAUGGGCUACAGGUUUGCAUUUUGAGCGGCUCAAACGGAUGAUUAUAAGCGUGUGAAACAGUUCGGAAUUGCUAUCAACUCAGGUGGGUUCCCUUAAGUUCAAUUUCACCUUAAUAGAGUAGUUCAUAGUUUUCCCCAAAUAUUAAACUAUGCAUGACAACUUAAGUUUGGUUAUGUUUAGGAUUAAAUUAGAAUAACUCAUUAACUGAUUAAUUAACCACUUAAAUAAGCCCUGCAUGUUGAAUUGACUGUAAUAUGUGGAAUUUAGUACGAAGUAUAAUUAUGUAAGCUGAAUUGGACAUAAACACUAUGUUGAGUUAUGCAGGAUUCCGUGGUUGAAUCGGCUCAACCAGAGCUUGCAUUGAUCCAUAAGUUUCCUUGUGAAGCAAAAAUGUGUCUUAUGCGCCUCAUGAGCCGGUUCAUGCCUUGAAUGAGCCUGUGCAUAAGCGCAUAAUGUAUUUUAUUAAAAUCUGGGAAAUGUUGCAUCGGUACAAACGUUGUGUGAACCGGCUUAAGCAUGUCCUGGGUGAGUUUGAAUUGCUACAAGGCAAACUUGUGUCGAUGCAUAUAAGUCAAAUAUCUUGCUUUCUUAAAAACUGGAUUAUAUGCAUUGGUACAUAGAACCCUUGAACCGGUGCAAACAAAAUAAUUUACUAAAAACCUUUUGGCUUAUAUAUAGGAGGUAUAAUAACCGUUUUAUUUCAACUGAAAAUCCUCCAUUAUGAACAUUAUUUUAUAAAAACUAUAAGUGACUAGAAUUCCACGAUUACGGACUUUCGUACAUGUAUUAAAAUCAGUUAGACAAUUGAAUCAGGAUAUUCAGGAUUGUUAGAAAUACCCUCGGGAAGGUUUUCUUUUCUUUGUGCAGGAUAACCAUUCAAGAUUAUGAACAUUAGUUACCAUGUCAUGAGAAUCAUUUCAGAAUCCGAGAAAUUUAAUAAGAACUGCAAGCUGAGGUGGAACCCGACGUAUAUUAUUAUCGGUAGUACGAGGACUAGGCACUCCGGGACCCGCUUGCCUCGAAGUGACCCUAUGCGGAUAAUAUUGACAAGAUAAUAAUAAGCGGUACACCUUUACUGCUUUAUAUUAUUAUGUUAUGAAUUAUGUCAGGAUUAGUACUAUUAGAAGUUCAGGAUCAGGUUAUGUUAGAAACUAUUAGUUUUAGUUGCCCUGGUGUAGUCACCAGUAGUUGGGUAGUAGGAACUCACUGAGGCUUAGUAGUGUCAUCCCACGCCCUUCAAAUUUUUUUAGGUAAAUAGGUUAACCUGAGCAAGGACCAGACAGGAACCGAUGAUCGACGUUGCGCUUGGAUUAUCGGAUUAGAAGACUUUCGUUAAGCUGUUAAGUUGGGAUACAAUUUGUUAAGUUGUUAAGUUGAGAUACAAUUCUCUUUCGUUUGUAUUGUACUGGAUUUUCACAUUGUUCUUGUGAUAUCUUGUAAAUUCAAUAAAUUAUUUUUGAAUUUUAAGGUGCUCGGAUUUCAAUUAUUAAAUAUUCUAGUCAAUUUAGUUGGGCUUUCACAUCAGGAGGCAUUAAGACGCUUCCCUAGAAUUGAAAAUGUCUUCUCUAAGCUUUUUGUUUUUGUUGAAGAGGUCAAAAUGGAAUACAAUCAGUCGAAACCCAUAUAUAGCAAUGGAGUCAACCACCAACAAUGAAAAUUUGAGACUAAAGUUACAUUUGUCGAGUUCAAUCACCAAUAAGAAAAUAAUUUGACCUUAUNNNNNNNNNNNNNNNNNNNNNNNNNNNNNNNNNNNNNNNNNNNNNNNNNNNNNNNNNNNNNNNNNNNNNNNNNNNNNNNNNNNNNNNNNNAACAUCGCUGCAUCCAGAUACACAAUAACAAACGUCGGCUGAAAUGAUUCCUCGAGUAACCAAGUUUUUCUUCGUUGGAAACCUAUCCCUCAAAAGUUUGCAUGCAAGAAUCGAAACCUUAAAGGAACCUGUCUGUGCCAUAUAAGACCGUGACCGUCAUCUAAAUUGACCAUAUCCUGAGAAAUCAAUAACUGAUACGCGCCAUGAACAGAGUAACCGUGAUUAGGGUCUGGCACCCACUGCCACCUGUCUGAAAUAUGAUCCUACAAAGAGAUAGUAGGUAGUAAGGCCUGACACUAUCCUAACUUCUCCUCCUCCCACAACUGCCUCCUCCAAACCCACGUUUGACUACCAGCCCCCCACCCUAACAAAGACAUCUCUGCUACUAAAGCUGCUUUAUUCUCCGCUAAGUCAAACAUGCCUAAAACUCACCCACAAAAAACUAUCCCCUAGCCAUGGAUCAGUCCAAAACAAGGUAUCAGACCCAUCCCCAACCUUCUUCGAAACACUCUCUUGAAACCACCCUACACCAUCAGCACCCUCCAAGAUUCUCACAAUCUCCCUCCACCAUGCAGACCCUCUCCUCUCUCCAUCUUUCACUCUUUCUCUCUCGACCCAAUACCUAGCUGCCAGCACUCGGAACCCAUUUUCCGAAAAGAGCUAAGUUAAACUCCCUCAAUUGUCUAACCUCUAACCCUACAUACUCCUUACGUAAACAAAUAGUUUUCCAACUGAUCCAAGGGAUUUUCCUACGAUCCUCACUCCCCCCCCNNNNNNNNNNNNNNNNNNNNNNNNNNNNNNNNNNNNNNNNNNNNNNNNNNNNNNNNNNNNAAGAUUCAAUAGAAGAGAUUAUACUUGAGGGAUCCUUGAAGAAGGAAAGAGCAUAGACAAGUAGAGAGGUUAAGACAUACUUGAGUAAGAUCAGACGACCGCCAAAAAAAGGGAAGCGACUCUUCCAUCCAUAUGACAUGUUCUUUAUAUGAGCUAUCAUCGGUUCCCAAAAAGCCAAACGACGCGGAUCACCACCAAUAGAAACCUAGAUAAAGGAAAGACACAUUUCCCACUCUACAGCACAGAGCCUAUGCGGCCUCAUGUAACUAGGAAUCAGGGAUAUUAACCCUUACCUGCAAACUCUUGUUGAAAUUAACCUUCAAAAUCAACAUAGACUCGAACACCACCAAGAAGGCUUAAAGCGCAUGGACAUUCACCCAGGUUUUAGACCCGACCAGCAGCGUAUCAUCGGCAAACUGAAGGUGUGAGACCGAAACCCGAAACAUGAUUUUGUUCUCCAACAUUAUACCCCGUAAACAAAUUACUCUCAACCAUAGCAUGCAUCAUCACAUUCAAACCUUCGGCUGUUAGAAGAAAAAGAAAAUGAGAAAGUGGAUCCCCUUGUCUUAAACCCCUCUCAAGAGGGAACUCAUCAGUGGGACUACCGUUAACCAAGAUUGACGUUGUCGUCGUGCUAACACAUUCUCUAAUCCAUUUUCGCCACAACGUCGAAAAAGACAUAUGUCCCAUAACAUUAUCCAGAUAGCCCAGUCCAUCGAAUCAUAGGAUUUCUCGAAAUCCACCUUUAAUAACAACAAUUCCUUGUUAUACCUACGCGCCUCAUCAACCACCUCAUUCGCAAUGAGGAUUCCAUCGAGGAUUUGCACAUCCUUUACGAACGCACUUUGCGACUCAAAAAUGACACUACCAAUACUGGAUGGAAAAUUGAAGGUGUAAAACGAGACUUGGCUGAUAUAUGUGAUACGUACUAUUCACAUAAAACCGUUGGAACGAAGAAUUUGCGAUCUGUCAAUGAAGUGGUGAAUCACUUACUUCCUGAAGGAUACCCCAAGUUACAUUGCAAGAAGGGAAAAUUAAAGGGCAAUGAAGUUAAGGAUGAAAACAGUAAUCUUGAAUCGACGGGAAAAAGGAAGAGAAGAAGGAGAAAAUAAUGUUAAAGAAGUCUCAAGAAAAAGAAAGAAUAAUGUUUUUGUAAUCGGUUCUUCUUCUUCUUCUCUAAAGACCGAGGAUACGUCAAUAAUUCUAAGAGAAGUCUCAGUUGAAUCAUUAGAAGUUAAAGAAGUCUCAAGAAAACGAAAGAAUAGUGUUUUUCUUGGUUCUUAAAAGAACGAGGAGAAGUCAAUAAUUCUAAGAGAAGUCUUAGCUGAAUCAUCAGAAGUACAAAUUGUCAUUCCUUCUAAUGAUGAAAGAUUGGAAGACAUGUUAAACAAUUGUGUUGAUGAUAAUGAUAAAUGCAUAGUAGUUGUGGACAACAAAAUGGACGAAGAUUUGGAUGAAAUUAUAGAAGAAUUUCCUGAAUAUGAUGAUUUAGCAAACCAGUUUUUUAACUAGUUUUCUCAAAAGACCGAGAAGGAGAACAAUUACAAUAUGCAUAGUGUUUAGAAAUAAACUGGAAAACUAGAGCAAAUAAGCACCGGAGUGGAUCAAAAUUUAGUGUUGUUGUUAACCAACAAAUAAUGAAUACAUUUAUUCAUUUAGAAUUUCUUGGAAGAUCAUGAUCAGGUCUAGUUCUUUCUUCUAUUUUUUUUUUCGGCUGUAGUUCUAUAAAUUUAAUGAUUGAAAUUUCAUUGUGCUUUUAAAUUUUAAAAAAAAUUGUGAAACUUUUAAGGUUGAAUGCUUUUUAUUGUAAAACUUUGUUUGGUCGGAUAGUCAUUGAACAAGAAAAGGUUGAAGUAGUUGAUUAAAAUAGAUUCUAUUUUAAUCAAUUAAUUCCACAUUUUCUUGUUCAAUGACUAUCCGACCAAACAUAGUUUUCCAAUAAAAACCAUUCAACCUUAAAAGUUUCACAAUUUUUUUAAAAAAGUUUAAAAGCACGAUGAAAUUUCAUUCAUUAAAUUUAUAGAACUACAACCGAUCAAAAAAACAAAAAAAACCAGAAGUAACAACUACAAUUGAUCAUGAUCUUCCAAGAAAUUCUAAAUGAAUAAAUGUAUUCAUUAUUUGUUGGUUAACAACAACACUAAAUUUAGAUCCACCGUAGUCCUUAUUUGCUCCAGUUUUCCAGUUUGUUUCUCAACACUAUGUUUAUUGUAAUUGUUCUCCUUCUCGGUCUUUUGAGAAAACUAGUUAAAGAACUGGUUUGCUAAAUCAUCAUAUUCAAGAAAUUCUUCUAUAAUUUCAUCCAAACUUUGGUCCAUUUUGUUGUGCACAGCUACUAUGCAUUUAUCAUUAUCAUCAGCACAAUUGUAUAACAUGUCUUCCAAUCUUUCAUCAUCAGAAGGAAUGACAAUUUGUACUUCUAAUGAUUCAGCUGAGACUUCUCUUAGAAUUGUUGACUUCUCCUCGUUCUUUUGAUAAGAAGAGGAACCAAGAAACACUGUUCUUUCGUUUUCUUGAGACUUCUUUAACUUCUAAUGAUUCAAGUGAGACUUCUCUUAAAAUUAUUGACUUCUUCUCAGUCUUUUGAGAAGAAGAACCGAUUAGAAAAAUACAAUUCUUUCUUUUUCUUGAGACUUCUUUAACAUUAUUUUCUCUUUUUCUUCUCUUCCUUUUUCCCCUCGAUUCAAGAUUACUGUUUUCAUCCUUAACUUCAUUGCCCUUUAUUUUUCCCUUCUUGCAAUGUAACUUGGGGUAUCCUUCAUGUAGUAAGUGAUUCACCACUUCAUUGAUAGAUCGCAAUUUCUUCGUUCCAAGGGCUUUAUGCGAAUAGUACGUAUCACAUAUAUCAGACAAGUCUCGUUUUACACCUUCAAUUUUCCAUCCAGUAAGCUUAGAGAAGACAUUUUCAAUUCUAGGGAAGCGUCUUAACGCCUCAUGAUCACCACGAAAAUCAAAAGAAAUUGUUUAACUCAAUAAUUGAAAUAAAAAUACUAAAAUGAUGCAAUUGAAUUAUAUAUAAAUGGAUGGCCAUUUCAGCAACUUCGCCACCAUCUUUCGGACUUGCAGCACAAGCAAGCAGAAAAUAGAAGAUCAAGUAGAACAAGAAGCAUGCCAGCAAGG
rnacentral:lncRNA from 1 species